rnacentral:rRNA from 1 species
CGGAGGAAAAGAAACCAACAGGGAUUGCCCUAGUAACGGCGAGUGAAGCGGCAACAGCUCAAAUUUGAAAUCUGGCGCAAGCCCGAGUUGUAAUUUGUAGAGGAUGCUUCAGGGCAGCGACCGGUCUAAGUUCCUUGGAACAGGACGUCAUAGAGGGUGAGAAUCCCGUAUGCGACCGGUUGGCACCCGUCACGUAGCUCCUUCGACGAGUCGAGUUGUUUGGGAAUGCAGCUCUAAAUGGGAGGUAAAUGCCUUCUAAAGCUAAAUACCGGCCAGAGACCGAUAGCGCACAAGUAGAGUGAUCGAAAGAUGAAAAGCACUUUGGAAAGAGAGUUAAAAAGCACGUGAAAUUGUUGAAAGGGAAGCGCAUGCAACCAGACUUGUCGGCGGUGUUCAGCCGGUCUUCUGACCGGUCUACUCGCCGCCGGCAGGCCAACAUCAUUUGGGAGCGCCGGACAAAGGUGGGAGGAAUGUGGCCCCUCGGGGUGUUAUAGCCUCCUACGCAAUACGGCGCCUCCCGAGUGAGGUCCGCGCUUCGGCUAGGAUGUUGGCGUAAUGGUUGUCUGCGGCCCGUCUUGAAACACGGACCAAGGAGUCUAACAUCUAUGCGAGUGUUCGGGUGUCAAACCCCUACGCGUAAUGAAAGUGAACGGAGGUGGGAACUUUUUGUGCACCAUCGACCGAUCCUGAUGUCUUCGGAUGGAUUUGAGUAAGAGCAUAGCUGUUGGGACCCGAAAGAUGGUGAACUAUGCCUGAAUAGGGUGAAGCCAGAGGAAACUCUGGUGGAGGCUCGCAGCGGUUCUGACGUGCAAAUCGAUCGUCAAAUUUGGGUAUAGGGGCGAAAGACUAAUCGAACCAU